GGGAGGUCUGGGGAGGAUGAAAUAAAUUUAGCUCAGAAGUCUGAAAGUUCAAAUGCUGCUCUUCAGGCUACACGGGCUUAAUAGACUGUGACCCUCAGUUUCCUUGUUUGCAAACUGGAAAGAUAAAUUUCUCGGGCAGAGUCCAGGGAGACUGGGGUGGGACACCACAGAGAUGCCAGAUCUUAGAUCAAGGGACACUCUGCUAGCCAUCAGGGUUCUCAGCACCCUCAGCCUCCCUGACAGGACUCUCGGCUGCCAAAAGCCACUAAGCAGCUCUGAGAUUCUAAUCGACUCGGAAGAUCCAGAGUCCUGCUUCUCUCAGCGGCUUGUUCCGCCUGCGGCACAGGCGUGUGACGGUGGCAGCCCACACUGAGCUCUCAAACUCCACCCGGCCUUCUCACUCAGGCUCAGCCCAGCUACAGCCACCGCUGCCAGCCCUCUGUCAGGACUGGGAGCCAUGCUGUCUGUGCCUUCUCCUGCUUAGUCGCUGUGCCCCAGGUCUGGGAGGAUUGAUAGUGAUGGUGCAGUCCGUUCUACCUGUAGCAAUCGCUCCGCAGAUGGGCGUCUGUGGACAGGCAGAGCGAGGAAGCCUGCGAGGAAGUGCCAGCUGCGGUGACGUCCCAAGGGCAAAAGCGCCGUCGGGCGCCGGAGCACCCAGUGCCGUGGGGUGGAUAGUCGGACCACGACCUCAUGGAGCACUAUGCGACCAACAAGAGGGCUGUAGAUGCCAAAUCACUGGUGGGAGAAGCGUCAGACGUGGUUAUUUGCACGGGAAGGGUGUAAGGUCGUGUGCAUAAAAUAAAGAUAAACAAAUCA